rnacentral:rRNA from 1 species
GAUGAACGCUGGUGGCGUGCCUAACACAUGCAAGUCGAGCGAUUCCCUUCGGAGAUGCGCGGCGGACGGGUGCGUAACGCGUGGGUAACCUGCCCUGUACACACGGAUACCAUACCGUAAGGUAUGCUAAUACGAGAUAACAUGCUCUUAUCGCAUGGUAGAAUCAUUAAAGCCUUUGCGGUACAGGAUGGACCCGCGUCUGAUUAGAUAGUUGGUGGGGUAACGGCACACUAAGGCGACGAUCAGUAGCCGACCUGUGAGGGUGAACGGCCACAUUGGAACUGAGACACGGUCCAAACUCCUACGGGAGGCAGCAGUGGGGAAUAUUGCACAAUGGGCGAAAGCCUGAUGCAGCAACGCCGCGUGAGCGAUGAAGGCCUUCGGGUCGUAAAGCUCUGUCCUCAAGGAAGAUAAUGACGGUACUUGAGGAGGAAGCCCCGGCUAACUACGUG